CUGCGCCGGGCACGCGCCCGCACUCCCCUCGGCCGGAGCGGCGGCCCGGGCACCGAGGGACCGGAGCGGGCACCGAGGGACCGGCCUGGCCAUUGAGGGACUGCCCCGGCCACCGAGGGACUGGACCGGGCACUGAGGGACCGGAGCGGGCACCGAGGGACCGGCCUGGCCAUUGAGGGACUGGUCUGGCCACUGGGAGACCGGCCCGGGCAGUGAGGGACCGGCCCGGCCCAGGCCGCUGUGAUUGUCUCCCUCAUUGGGUCGCUGGGAGCUCCCCGAGCGUGCACCCAGCCCUGGUUGGGACCAAGGACGGCCACCCAGAUUUCAGGCCGAAGAGCAUGGACAACAACGUGGCUUAACAACGUGGACUGAAGAGAAAAAAACAAGAAUGAUGUGACUUCAUAACCUAAAGCUAUAAUUGGACAAUUAGCUCCAAUAUGGAAAUGGACCAGAACUUAUAAAAGUGAGAGACCUCGUAACCAGUUGUCCAUUUUUUUGUGACCAUUUGGGUUCAUCUUGGCUGUAGCCCUGGCUGGGCUCCUGUACUGCCUGAGGUGUAUCCAUUGAGGUGUUUUAAUAAAUCCCUAAUUUAUUCUUUAAA